rnacentral:rRNA from 1 species
ACGGAGGAUGCAAGCGUUAUCCGGAUUUAUUGGGUUUAAAGGGUGCGCAGGCGGAUCAAUAAGUCAGGGGUGAAAAAUUUCAGCUUAACUGUAGUCGUGCCUUUGAUACUGUAGGACUUGAGUGUAGUUGAGGUAUCUGGAAUGUGAAGUGUAGCGGUGAAAUGCUUAGAUAUGACACAGAACACCAAUUGCGAAGGCAGCAAACUAAAUUAUAACUGACGCUGAUGCACGAAAGCGUGGGGAUCAAACAG